UACAGAGGUCUCAAGCGUUGUCCGGAAUCAUUGGGCGUAAAGAGCGCGUAGGCGGUCCGGUAAGUCGGUUGUGAAAACUGGGGGCUCAACCCUCAGAGGCCGACCGAUACUGUCGGGCUAGAGUCCGGAAGAGGCGAGUGGAAUUCCUGGUGUAGCGGUGAAAUGCGCAGAUAUCAGGAGGAACACCAAUGGCGAAGGCAGCUCGCUGGGACGGUACUGACGCUGAGGCGCGAAAGCGUGGGGAGCAAACAGG
rnacentral:rRNA from 1 species